AACGAACGCUGGCGGCAGGCUUAACACAUGCAAGUCGAACGCCCCGCCAGGGGAGUGGCCGACGGGUGAGUAACGCGUGGGAACAUACCCUUUUCUACGGAAUAGCUCUGGGAAACUGGAAUUAAUACCGUAUACGCCCUACGGGGGAAAGAUUUAUCGGGGAAGGAUUGGCCCGCGUUGGAUUAGCUAGUUGGUGGGGUAAAGGCCUACCAAGGCGACGAUCCAUAGCUGGUCUGAGAGGAUGAUCAGCCACAUUGGGACUGAGACACGGCCCAAACUCCUACGGGAGGCAGCAGUGGGGAAUAUUGGACAAUGGGCGCAAGCCUAAUCCAGCCAUGCCGCGUGAGUGAUGAAGGCCUUAGGGUUGUAAAGCUCUUUCACCGAUGAAGAUAAUGACGGUAGUCGGAGAAGAAGCCCCGGCUAACUUCGUG
rnacentral:rRNA from 1 species